GACCUUUCAGUUUUUCGACCU
rnacentral:misc_RNA from 1 species